ensembl:lncRNA
UCUGUAAUAUAGUUAUACUGGAGUUUGACUCUUCGGGUGACGGUGUUUUCUGUCCCUCCAGCUACAGAUCAAAGUAAACGGACAGAGAGGUGGAUUGGGAAUUUGUAUUGCAGGAGGGAAAGGCUCCUUUCCGUACAAAGAGAAUGAUGAGGGAAUUUUCAUCUCCAGAGUGUCUAAAGGCGGACCGGCGGAGAAGGCCGGGCUACAUGUUGGGGACAGAGUGUUGGAGGUCAAUGGUCAAGACAUGCAGGAGGUCAGCCACCACGAGGCUGUCAGCGUCUUGAGGAAUGCUGGGAGCUGCAUAAAAAUGAAAGUACUGCGGGAGAGAUGCAUGCCCAUGGAGCCGCAGAUCCACGAGAGCUUUGACACCAUGGAGACAGCAGACCUCCAGAUUCCUCGGAUUAUUCUGACUCACCCCUCUACCUCAGAUGAAGACGUGGAGACCCUGACGCAGGGCUUAGAUGAUGGAGAUUUUAAUUCUGACUUCAACAACUCAGACGGUCACAUCUACUCAGACUGUCUGAACAGCACUUUCUAUCUUUCGUGAAAGAUAGAGAAGCACACCAGCUUCAGAAAAGAAGUUCUUGGACCAGGCUUUAAUACCCUCUCUCUCUUUGUGAAUUCAGAUGUGCCUGUGUCCUCUGGUUAAGUGAAAUUGUUGUGUUUGUCUGGCUGUGGUCCACAGUCACUGGAGCAGAAAAUGAGUGACGUGGAAUCGAUACUUCAAACAAAGUCCACAGUCCCAUGAUGCUUGCAUCCCUUAAAAAAACUGAACUGUUUAGUACGCAAUUGUGUGAAAGAGAUACAAAUAAAGUGGAAAGUAAAUAGAUAAUAUUUUUCUAA